CGUGAGUGAAGAAGGGUUUCGGCUCGUAAAACUCUGUUGUUAAAGAAGAACAUAUCUGAGAGUAACUGUUCAGGUAUUGACGGUAUUUAACCAGAAAGCCACGGCUAACUACGUGCCAGCAGCCGCGGUAAUACGUAGGUGGCAAGCGUUGUCCGGAUUUAUUGGGCGUAAAGCGAGCGCAGGCGGUUUUUUAAGUCUGAUGUGAAAGCCUUCGGCUCAACCGAAGAAGUGCAUCGGAAACUGGGAAACUUGAGUGCAGAAGAGGACAGUGGAACUCCAUGUGUAGCGGUGAAAUGCGUAGAUAUAUGGAAGAACACCAGUGGCGAAGGCGGCUGUCUGGUCUGUAACUGACGCUGAGGCUCGAAAGUAUGGGUAGCAAACAGGAUUAGAUACCCUGGUAGUCCAUACCGUAAACGAUGAAUGCUAAGUGUUGGAGGGUUUCCGCCCUUCAGUGCUGCAGCUAACGCAUUAAGCAUUCCGCCUGGGGAGUACGGCCGCAAGGCUGAAACUCAAAGGAAUUGACGGGGGCCCGCACAAGCGGUGGAGCAUGUGGUUUAAUUCGAAGCUACGCGAAGAACCUUACCAGGUCUUGACAUACUAUGCAAAUCUAAGAGAUUAGACGUUCCCUUCGGGGACAUGGAUACAGGUGGUGCAUGGUUGUCGUCAGCUCGUGUCGUGAGAUGUUGGGUUAAGUCCCGCAACGAGCGCAACUCUUAUUAUCAGU
rnacentral:rRNA from 2 species